GGCUGUUCCUUUAUUUAUCUGUCCCUGGUAAAUGUGGAUGAUAACCAGUUGGGCUAUUCUGUCCCCUUCUUGCACUAGCAAGUCUUGUGGCCCCUGAUUUAACAAAAGGAUCUUUAUUUCUCCUUGGUAAUCUGCGUCUAUAACCCUUCCCAUUACGUGUAUCCCUUUAAGGGCGAGGCUAGACCUAGGUGCAAUUAGUCCAAAGUGUCCCUGGGGUAUCUGUAUUCCUAUACCUGUGGGGAAC